GGGUGGGGCUUCAGAGUUUGCGUUUUCAGCAAGUUGCCGGCUGAUGUGGGUGCUGCUGGUCUGGGACAGCCCUUUGAGGAUUGCAGGUUUAGUUCAUUCUCUUCAGGAAGAAUGAGCCCACACAUGGCCCUGGAGAUCACCUUGAAUGUCUUCCUCUUCUGCCUACUUGCCGGCCCAUGAGGAUUUUUGCACACCUCCCAUAAGGAUUGGCACGUAUCCAUUAACUUUUCUCCCCCAGCCUUCUGCUUUCAGUACCACCCACCAAGAAGGACAUAAGAGAGCAGAAACAAUAAUUUCCCUUGAGUGACCGCAGUUGUACUGCAUUAUUACAGAAUGUCCAGGACUCGCUGGAUGACAUCAAGAAAAUGAUCCCAGUAUUGGACUGUGCUCUACUUUCUAGCUUCCUUCACUGUGUUCUGUGUCAAGAUAUUGGGACAUAAAUAAGAUAACUGUCUGGCUUCACUGAA